UACAGUUGUAUUUUUAGGGAGUAAGAAGGCUCUUGCAGUUAGGGGAAAAGCUGAAGAAGCAGGAGUGGGCAAAAGCUCUCCAGGUGAGGGGAGCCUGUGAGAGACCUUGUUGUGGCAGGAGAGAGCCCAUGAAGGCCAACUGGAAAGACACAGUGCUGGCUUUCCUUGUCUCCUUAGGUGAAAGAUGAAGUCUGUCUCUUAUCUCCCCAAAGGGCUGUGCAAAAUUUCAUGAGGUGAGUGCUGUGGUUAGGGCAACCUAACACCCACAGUAGCUGUCGCAAUGUCCAUGGAAGAAUUCUAUCAACCCAGCUACUGCACCUGUGAGGACUGGAUUAACUACACUGGUGAGGAAGGAACCCCUCAAAACAUCUACAUUGCUGUAGCAGCUGCAGUGAAGACAAAUGCAGACCAAGUCCACUGAGCCUUCAUGUGCUUCCUCAAACUGCACUUCUUCCAAAAUACUUAUUAGCCCUAAAAGUGGCUGCAGAUGUAGUGUUAACUAUCAAAU